AGCUCAUUUUACAUUUUACCUCACUAAGGAUAAGCUUAGUAAGGCUAUUAAAUAGGAAGUAUUUUGUCUAAAUUAGUUACGUAAGCUUGAAAUUAGCUAUCGACCUAGAACUUGUUAUAAAAUAAUUUUAAUAUUUAGAAAAAUAACUAUACUUAAUCCUACUUAAAACGGGGAUAAGCACGAAAAACUAUUGAUCUGGUCUAUUUAUGCUAGAAUGAGUAUUAAAUAUGCCCAAUUUAACAGGUUAGAUUAAAACAAGUGUACCUGCACUAAUAAAUAUAAAUUUAUUUAAAAUAAAAAUAAGGAACUCGGCAAAUUUUAGCUCCGCCUGUUUAUCAAAAACAUGGCUCUUUGAAUCUCUUGUAUAAAGAGUCGAACCUGCCCAGUGAAAUUUUAACGGCCGCGGUACUCUGACCGUGCAAAGGUAGCAUAAUCAAUUGCCUUAUAAUUGAAGGCUUGUAUGAAUGGUUUGACGGGAGCACUACUGUCUCUUUUUUAUUAAGCAGAACUUANCUUUUAGGUGAAGAGGCCUAAAUAUAAUUGAUAGACAAGAAGACCCUGUCGAGCUUAAAAAAAAGAAUUGGAACCAAACUAUAGUAUUUAAAUUAACUACUAAUUAACUUUUUUGGUUGGGGCGACCAAGGAACAAAUAAAGCUUCCUUUCUUUAAUUAACCAAUAAGUAAUGAUCCAGUAAACUGAUUAAAAGAAUUAGUUACCGCAGGGAUAACAGCAUAAUCUCUCCUGAGAGACCUAAUCGAAGGGGGGGGGUUGUGACCUCGAUGUUGGACUAGAGUAUCCUAAAGAUGCAGAAA
rnacentral:rRNA from 1 species